UACAGAGGGUGCGAGCGUUAAUCGGAAUUACUGGGCGUAAAGCGUGCGUAGACGGUUAUUUAAGUCGGGUGUGAAAGCCCUCGGCUUAACCGAGGAAGUGCAUUCGAAACUACUGGACUUGAGUACUGAAGAGGGUCGCGGAAUUCCCGGUGUAGAGGUGAAAUUCGUAGAUAUCGGGAGGAACACCAGUGGCGAAGGCGGCGACCUGGGCAGAUACUGACGCUGAGAUGCGAAAGCGUGGGGAGCAAACAGG
rnacentral:rRNA from 1 species